rnacentral:rRNA from 1 species
CGUGUAGGCGGUUAGGUAAGUGGAAUGUGAAAUCCCCCGGCUUACCCGGGGACCUGCAUCCCAUACUGCCUAGCUUGAGUACGGGAGAGGAUGAGGGAAUUCCUGGUGUAGCGGUGAAAUGCGUAGAUAUCAGGAGGAACACCGGUGGCGAAGGCGCUCAUCUGGCCCGAUACUGACGCUGAUGCGCGAAAGCUAGGGAGCAAACG